rnacentral:rRNA from 1 species
GAUGAACGCUGACAGAAUGCUUAACACAUGCAAGUCAACUUGAAUUUGGGUUUUUUAACUUAGAUUUGGGUGGCGGACGGGUGAGUAACGCGUAAAGAACUUGCCUCACAGCUAGGGACAACAUUUGGAAACGAAUGCUAAUACCUGAUAUUAUGAUUAUAAGGCAUCUUAGAAUUAUGAAAGCUAUAUGUGCUGUGAGAGAGCUUUGCGUCCCAUAGCUAGUUGGAGAGGUAACGGCUCACCAAGGCGAUGAUGGGUAGCCGGCCUGAGAGGGUGAACGGCCACAAGGGGACUGAGACACGGCCCUUACUCCUACGGGAGGCAGCAGUGGGGAAUAUUGGACAAUGGACCAAGAGUCUGAUCCAGCAAUUCUGUGUGCACGAUGACGUUUUUCGGAAUGUAAAGUGCUUUCAGUUGGGAAGAAAAAAAUG